rnacentral:rRNA from 1 species
UGCAUGUCUAAGUAUAAGCAAUUAUACGGCGAAACUGCGAAUGGCUCAUUAAAUCAGUUAUUGUUUAUUUGAUAGUACCUUACUACUUGGAUAACCGUGGUAAUUCUAGAGCUAAUACAUGCUAAAAACCCCGACUUCGGGAGGGGUGUAUUUAUUAGAUUAAAAACCAAUGCCCUCCGGGGCUUCUUGGUGAUUCAUGAUAACUUCUCGGAUCGCACGGCCUUGCGCCGGCGACGGUUCAUUCAAAUUUCUGCCCUAUCAACUUUCGACGGCUGGGUAUUGGCCAGCCGUGGUGACAACGGGUAACGGAGGGUUAGGGCUCGACCCCGGAGAAAACGCCUGAGAAACGGCGUUUACAUCCAAGGAAGGCAGCAGGCGCGCAAAUUACCCAAUGCCGACUCGGCGAGGUAGUGACGAUAAAUACUGGUACGGGGCUCUUUCGGGUCUCGUAACUGGAAUGAGUACAAUUUAAAUCCCUUAACGAGGAACAAUUGGAGGGCAAGUCUGGUGCCAGCAGCCGCGGUAAUUCCAGCUCCAAUAGCGUAUAUUAAAAUUGUUGAGAUUAAAAAGCUCGUAGUUGAACCUUGGGCCUGGCUGGCCGGUCCGCCUCACCGCGUGCACUGGUCCGGCCGGGCCUUUCCCUCCGGGGAACCCCAUGCCCUUCACUGGGCGUGGCGGGGAACCGGGACUUUUACUUUGAAAAAAUUAGAGUGUUCAAAGCAGGCCUAUGCUCGGAUACAUUAGCAUGGAAUAAUAGAAUAGGACGUGUGGUUCUAUUUUGUUGGUUUCUAGGACCGCCGUAAUGAUUAAUAGGGACAGUCGGGGGCGUCAGUAUUCAAUUGUCAGAGGUGAAAUUCUUGGAUUUAUUGAAGACUAACUACUGCGAAGGCAUUCGUCAAGGAUGUUUUCAUUAAUCAGGAACGAAAGUUAGGGGAUCGAAGACGAUCAGAUACCGUCGUAGUCUUAACCGUAAACUAUUAAGUCUAGGGAUCGGACGGUGGUUCUAUUUGCCCCGUCCGGCACCUUACACGAAAGUAUAAGAGCUUAUUCUGGGGAAAAUACGGUA